UAGUUUAGAAUGUUGAAAUUGUUGUCGGCAGGUGUGUGUGUGUGUGGAGUCUGCGACCCACAGGAGCCCGACGAGCGCCUGUGUUGCCAUUCUGUUGCCAGGGUGGUAGAAAUGUGCAACAGUGCCGUCGUGCAGUGCAUAACACAACACCCAUUACUCAGGGACAUCUGCCUCCGUAGGGAGCUUCUAGUGGUGUACGCGCCUCAAUUCUGCCGCUAUGAUCAACAUUUUAGGCGACUCAAUCCCCAGGACCACAGGAGACCCCGGAACUAAGAAAGGAAUGCACAGGCUUUGAACUCCAAGGUUGGGAUAGUGUCUGUUCUUCUGUUCUGGCCAUUGUCUUCCCAACACUGUGGGAGAUUUGGCAGCUGCCUAAGGUUCACGGCAUACUCGUCAUUCACGAGAUGGGUCUGGGGAUACCUUGGUCCAAGGAACAGACGACAGGUUCCUGGAUGCGUUGUCCGAGCCAUCAGGAGGGAGUUCCCAUCUACGUCCUAUCAAGGCUAUCAGCGUUAGGACCAUCGAAGCAAGGGUGUCUUGACAAGAGAGACAAGCUGGUGCAUACUGAUGGCUGAAACUGGAGACAUGUAGUGGCAAGACAAAAAUUUUGCUGAC